rnacentral:rRNA from 1 species
UACGUAGGGGGCUAGCGUUGUCCGGAAUCAUUGGGCGUAAAGCGCGUGUAGGCGGUUCGGUAAGUCCGCUGUGAAAGUCGGGGGCUCAACCCUCGAAUGCCGGUGGAUACUGUCGGACUAGAGUACGGAAGAGGCGAGUGGAAUUCCUGGUGUAGCGGUGAAAUGCGCAGAUAUCAGGAGGAACACCGAUGGCGAAGGCAGCUCACUGGGACGGUACUGACGCUGAGGCGCGAAAGCCAGGGGAGCAAACGGG